AUUGGACGCUGGCGGCAUGCCUUACACAUGCAAGUCGAACGGCAGCACGGGUGCUUGCACCUGGUGGCGAGUGGCGAACGGGUGAGUAAUACAUCGGAACAUGUCCUGUAGUGGGGGAUAGCCCGGCGAAAGCCGGAUUAAUACCGCAUACGAUCCACGGAUGAAAGCGGGGGACCUUCGGGCCUCGCGCUAUAGGGUUGGCCGAUGGCGGAUUAGCUAGUGGGUGGGGUAAAGGCCUACCAAGGCGACGAGCAGUAGCUGGUCUGAGAGGACGACCAGCCACACUGGGACUGAGACACGGCCCAGACUCCUACGGGAGGCAGCAGUGGGGAAUUUUGGACAAUGGGCGAAAGCCUGAUCCAGCAAUGCCGCGUGUGUGAAGAAGGCCUUCGGGUUGUAAAGCACUUUUGUCCGGAAAGAAAUCCUUGACUCUAAUACAGUCGGGGGAUGACGGUACCGGAAGAAUAAGCACCGGCUAACUACGUG
rnacentral:rRNA from 1 species